rnacentral:rRNA from 1 species
AUUGAACGCUGGCGGCAGGCUUAACACAUGCAAGUCGAGCGAGCGGCGGAUGGGUGAGUAAUGUCUGGGAAACUGCCUGAUGGAGGGGGAUAACUACUGGAAACGGUAGCUAAUAUCGCAUACCAUCAGAUGUGCCCAUAUGGGAUUGGAUAGUAGGUGGGGUAAUGGCUCACCUAGGCGACGAUCCCUAGCUGGUCUGAGAGGAUGACCAGCCACACUGGAACUGAGACACGGUCCAGACUCCUACGGGAGGGAGCAGUGGGGAAUCUUGCACAAGGGGCGCAAGCCUGAUGCAGCCAGGCCGCGUGUGUGAAGAAGGCCUUCGGGUUGUAAAGCACUUUCAGCGAGGGGGCGUUACUCGCAGAAGAAGCACCGGCUAACUCCGUGCCAGCAGCCGCGGUAAUAC